GAAAAUGGAAUGUCAGUGGAGCUCGCUAACAGCACAGAAGAGGUGAUGGAGAUGGAGAAGCUGAAGAUUAAAAAGAUAUCUUCCUCUUCCUCUUGCUACAUCAAACAUGUGGUAUCCAGGGAUCUCAACUAAUGCAACACCACACCAGCUUUCAUCCUUGGAGCUUAAUUAAACCAGCAAACGAAAUGACACUGCCCAUAGCUGGAACUCACCACCAGAACCUGAACGUUAUAGCAGAAGGAGCCAUGCACGUACGUGAUCCGUGCCUUAUGUUCUUGUUUAUAGAUGAGUAUGAUACAUAAAGGUGCACAUCAUAUGAUAUCCUCUGCCCUACGAUCCACCUUUAUGUGCUGUAGAGCUUCUACCAGUAGCGAGACAAGCGACUUUGAAAUUAUUGAUCCGCCAAUCAACUGUAAAGUAAUUUUGUUAGCUAUUCCUAUGCUUAUGAAAUUUCAAUAUGUAUGCAAGCACGCACACAUCAGUGCUUGAAAGAAUAAUACUUGGCAUCAAAUAUAUUAGUAGCUCAAUUGGUUGUUA